AAAGUCAGCAAAGACAUGCAAGUUGAUUUCCUGAUCCUGAUAAGGGACUAAUCGCCACAUGCCAUCACCGUCCAACAUAACUCACAUAAAGC